UGAUGAUGCUUAUUGUGCUGCUGCUGAUCAUUAUUAUUAUUUAAGUUAUGAAAAAAAAUAAUUAUCACUUAAAUAAUAAUAAUGAACAGCAGCAGCAGCAGCAUAA
rnacentral:miRNA from 1 species